rnacentral:rRNA from 1 species
GUUUGAUCUCAAAUCAGGUAGGACUACCCGCUGAACUUAAGCAUAUCAAUAAGCGGAGGAAAAGAAACUAACAAGGAUUCCCCUAGUAACUGCGAGUGAAGCGGGAAGAGCUCAAAUUUAAAAUCUGGCGUGCCUC